ACGAAGACUCGGACGCCAUUUCUUCUGCUUGUAUCAUCACUGCUUCUGGUCGUCAUUGUGGAGAAACGCAGCAGAGAAGACUCGGACGCCAUCGCCAUCUCCACUGCUUCCUCACUCUCCACGCCAUCGCCAUCGCCAUCGCCACAAGAAGACAGACAAAACCACCCCAUUGCUUGAGGAAACAACAGGUUAUUGAAGGAAGUGAAGGUCACUUGGUGGUUGAGGCUAAAUUUAUUAACCUGUCACUUACUUCUUUGGGAAAAUGUAUAAAUGCAGUGGCUAAAAGUAGUCCGCGUAUACCUACAAGAGAUUCUAAGUUAACAAGACUGCUACGUGAUUUAUUUGGAGAUAGGUACUAUUUCUUUAUCUUGUUAUGAGUUCAAUGAGAAGUAAGAUUUCUGCAUCUGUAAUGCUUGUUUCUCUGUAAUUACAUUAUGUUUCUCCUCAUUUGGAGGUAGGCACUAUGGCCUUUUGGAUGGAAAUUGAUACAAAUUAAUGCAACAGGUUUUGCAAGAA